CGAUGAUACGCGAGGAACCUUACCCGGGCGUUGAAAUAGCAUCUGACCGGCCUUGAAAGAGGCAAUCCCUUCGGGCAGAUGUGUAGGUGCUGCAUGGUUGUCGUCAGCUCGUGCCGUGAGGUGUCGGCUUAAGUGCCAUAACGAGCGCAACCCUCAUCAUUAGUUACCAUCAGGUAAGGCUGGGGACUCUAAUGAGACUGCCAUCGUAAGAUGUGAGGAAGGUGGGGAUGACGUCAAAUCAGCACGGCCCUUACGUCCGGGGCGACACACGUGUUACAAUGGGUGGUACAAAGGGCAGCUACCUGGCGACAGGAUGCUAAUCUCGAAAACCGCUCUCAGUUCGGAUCGGAGUCUGCAACUCGACUCCGUGAAGCUGGAUUCGCUAGUAAUCGCGCAUCAGCCACGGCGCGGUGAAUACGUUCCCGGGCCUU
rnacentral:rRNA from 1 species